UGAACCCUGCAUGUCUAGUAUAAAUAACUUUAUAUUGUGAAACUGCGAAUGGCUCAUUAAAUCAGUUAUGAUCUACGUGACAAAUUCUUUACUACUUGGAUAACCGUGGUAAUUCUAGAGCUAAUACAUGCAAAAAAGCCCUGACUCACGAAGGGGUGCACUUAUUAGAUAAAACCAACGCGGGGUAAAACCUGUUUCGUGGUGAAUCAUAAUAAUUAAGCGGAUCGCAUGGCCUUGAGCCGGCGACGGUCCACUCGAUUUUCUGCCCUAUCAUGGUUGAGUGUAAGAUAGAGGCUUACAAUGCCUAUAACGGGUAACGGGGAAUUAGGGUUCGAUUCCGGAGAGGGAGCCUGAGAAACGGCUACCACAUCCAAGGAAGGCAGCAGGCGCGCAAAUUACCCAAUCCCGACACGGGGAGGUAGUGACAAUACAUAACAAUGCAGGGCCCUUUACGGUCUUGCAAUUGGAAUGAGUACAAUUUAAAUCCCUUAACGAGGAUCAAUUGGAGGGCAAGUCUGGUGCCAGCAGCCGCGGUAAUUCCAGCUCCAAUAGCGUAUAUUAAAGUUGUUGCAGUUAAAACGUCCGUAGUCAAACUUUAGUCUUACCGGCGCGGUGGCCUGGUCUUCAUUGAUCAAGCUCGCUGUCGCUGGAGACUCCACGUCCGCUGGCUCCUAGUCCUCGUGGCUAGGGUUUUGUGGACAAUUACCAUGAGCAAAUCAGAGUGUUUAAAGCAGGCUUUUAAGCUUGAAUGUGUUAGCAUGGAAUAAUGAAAUAUGACUUUAGUCCUAUUUUCGUUGGUUUAGGUACUAUAGUAAUGAUUAAUAGAAACGGUUGGGGGCAUUUGUAUUUGGCCGCUAGAGGUGAAAUUCUUGGAUUGGCCGAAGACAAACUACUGCGAAAGCAUUUGACCCAGGACGUUUUCAUUGAUCAAGGUCUAAAGUUAAGGGAUCGAAGACGAUUAGAUACCGUCGUAGUCUUAACCACAAACUAUGCCGACUAGAGAUUGGGCGUGUUUCUUUUUGACUCGCUCAGCAUCUUAGCGAAAGUAAAGUUUUGGGUUCUGGGGGGGAGUAUGGGACGCAAGGCUGAAACUUAAAGGAAUUGACGGAAGGGCACCACCAGGAGUGGAGCCUGCGGCUUAAUUUGACUCAACACGGGGAAACUCACCAGGUCCAGACAUAGUAAGGAUUGACAGAUUGAAAGCUCUUUCUAGAUUCUAUGGGUGGUGGUGCAUGGCCGUUCUUAGUUCGUGGAGUGAUUUGUCUGGUUAAUUCCGAUAACGAACGAGACCUUAUUCUGCUAAUUACACAGGCUAACUCUUUCGGGUUGGUUUAUGUUUAUCAUUUAACUGUGUUCUUAGAGAGACUAUCUGCUGAGCAGAGACUU
rnacentral:rRNA from 1 species